AGUGAACGCUGGCGGUAGGCCUAACACAUGCAAGUCGAACGGCAGCACAGUACGAGCUUGCUCUUACCGGUGGCGAGUGGCGGACGGGUGAGGAAAAUAUCCGACUCUACUCUUUCGUGGGGGUUAACGUAGGGAAACUUACGCUAAUACCGCAUACGACCUACGGUUGAAAGCAUGGGAUCUUCGCACCUUGCGCGGUUGAAUGAGCCGAUGUUGGAUUAGCUAGUUGGCCGGGUAAUUGCCAACCAAGGCGACGAUCCGUAGCCGGUCGGAGUGGAUGGUCGGCCACACUGGAGGUGGGACACGGUCAAGGCUACUGAGAGAGGCAGCAGUGGGGAAUAUUGGGCAAUAGUCGGAAACCUUGUACAGUGAUACGGCGUCGGAGGCAGAGGCCUUCGGGUCGUGAAGCCCUUUUGUUGGGAGAGAAAAGCAGCAGGUUAAUACCCCGCUGGUGUGACGGUACCGGAUGAAGAAGCACCGGCUAACUUCGUG
rnacentral:rRNA from 1 species